rnacentral:rRNA from 1 species
AGUGGACGCUGGCGGUAGGCCUAACACAUGCAAGUCGAACGGCAGCACAGUAAGAGCUUGCUCUUACGGGUGGCGAGUGGCGGACGGGUGAGGAAUACAUCGGAAUCUACUUUUUCGUGGGGGAUAACGUAGGGAAACUUACGCUAAUACCGCAUACGACCUACGGGUGAAAGCAGGGGAUCUUCGGACCUUGCGCGAUUGAAUGAGCCAAUGUCGGAUUAGCUAGUUGGCGGGGUAAAGGCCCACCAAGGCGACGAUCCGUAGCUGGUCUGAGAGGAUGAUCAGCCACACUGGAACUGAGACACGGUCCAGACUCCUACGGGAGGCAGCAGUGGGGAAUAUUGGACAAUGGGCGCAAGCCUGAUCCAGCCAUACCGCGUGGGUGAAGAAGGCCUUCGGGUUGUAAAGCCCUUUUGUUGGGAAAGAAAAGCAGCAGGUUAAUACCCCGCUGUUCUGACGGUACCCAAAGAAUAAGCACCGGCUAACUUCGUG